CUACGGGCCGCUGCAGUGGGGAAUAUUGCACAAUGGGCGCAAGCCUGAUGCAGCCAUGCCGCGUGUAUGAAGAAGGCCUUCGGGUUGUAAAGUACUUUCAGCGGGGAGGAAGAGAGUAAAGUUAAUACCUUUGCUCAUUGACGUUACCCGCAGAAGAAGCACCGGCUAACUCCGUGCCAGCAGCCGCGGUAAUACGGAGGGUGCAAGCGUUAAUCGGAAUUACUGGGCGUAAAGCGCACGCAGGCGGUUUGUUAAGUCAGAUGUGAAGUCCCCGGGCUCAACCUGGGAACUGCAUCUGAUACUGGCAAGCUUGAGUCUCGUAGAGGGGGGUAGAAUUCCAGGUGUAGCGGUGAAAUGCGUAGAGAUCUGGAGGAAUACCGGUGGCGAAGGCGGCCCCCUGGACGAAGACUGACGCUUAGGUGCGAAAGCGUGGGGAGCAAACAGGAUUAGAUACCCUUGUAGUC
rnacentral:rRNA from 1 species